UGGUGUAGCGGUGAAAUGCUUAGAUAUCACGAAGAACUCCGAUUGCGAAGGCAGCUCACUGGAGCGCAACUGACGCUGAAGCUCGAAAGUGCGGGUAUCGAACAGGAUUAGAUACCCUGGUAGUCCGCACGGUAAACGAUGGAUGCCCGCUGUUGGUCUGAAUAGGUCAGCGGCCAAGCGAAAGCAUUAAGCAUCCCACCUGGGGAGUACGCCGGCAACGGUGAAACUCAAAGGAAUUGACGGGGGCCCGCACAAGCGGAGGAACAUGUGGUUUAAUUCGAUGAUACGCGAGGAACCUUACCCGGGCUUGAAUUGCAGAGGAAGGAUUUGGAGACAAUGACGCCCUUCGGGGUCUCUGUGAAGGUGCUGCAUGGUUGUCGUCAGCUCGUGCCGUGAGGUGUCGGCUUAAGUGCCAUAACGAGCGCAACCCCUCUCCUUAGUUGCCAUCAGGUCAAGCUGGGCACUCUGGGGACACUGCCACCGUAAGGUGUGAGGAAGGUGGGGAUGACGUCAAAUCAGCACGGCCCUUACGUCCGGGGCUACACACGUGUUACAAUGGCAGGUACAGAGAGAUGGUGUUCUGCAAAGCGCAUCUAAUCCUUAAAGCCUGUCUCAGUUCGGACUGGGGUCUGCAACCCGACCCCACGAAGCUGGAUUCGCUAGUAAUCGCGCAUCAGCCAUGGCGCGGUGAAUACGUUCCCGGGCCUUGUACACACCGCCCGUCAAGCCAUGAAAGCCGGGGGCGCCUAAAGUCCGUGACCGUAAGGAGCGGCCUAGGGCGAAACUGGUAAUUGGGGCUAAGUCGUAACAAGGUAGCCGUACCGGAAGGUGCGGCUG
rnacentral:rRNA from 1 species